GGAAUCUUGGACAAUGGGGGCAACCCUGAUCCAGCGACGCCGCGUGGGUGAUGAAGGCCUUCGGGUUGUAAAGCCCUUUCACCGGGGACGAUGAUGAAGGUACACGGAGAAGAAGCACCGGCUAACUCCGUGCCAGCAGCCGCGGUAAGACGGGGGGUGCUAGCGUUGUUCGGAAUCCCGGGGCGGAAAGGGCGCGUAGGCGGCUCAUGCAGUCGGCUCGUGAAAGCCCGGGGCUCAACCCCGGAGGUGCGGCCGAUACUCAUGGGCUCGAGGCCGGAAGAGGAGGGUGGAAUACCCAGUGUAGAGGUGAAAUUCGUAGAUAUUGGGUGGAACACCGGUGGCGAAAGCGGCUCUCUGGUCCGGUCCUGACGCUGAGGCGCGAAAGCGUGGGGAGCAAAC
rnacentral:rRNA from 1 species